rnacentral:lncRNA from 1 species
AUUAGCAUUUCUAGCAACAAUGUAUUUUUAAAUUAAGAUAUUUGAUGUGAUUCACCAGUACAGCCAUAUGAAGAUGAUAUUUUGAUUUUAGGAAUGUUUCAUUACAAAUGCAAUUCCUUCAACAGAGGCUUUUUCACUCCUCAGAAGAAAAAGUGGACACUAUAUGCCCCAAUGCAGCCGCAUUCCUGCUGGUCCCCAAAAGUAUAGUCACAAAAUUAAACAGGAGACCAUAAAUGAAUAAGACAGAGAAACUGACAGGAGGAAAGCAAGCUGCCAGAGCUUAGAGCUGUUCUUUUGUCUGUACUGUUCAGGAACUGAAUCUUAUUCAAAUUCAUAGUAAUUUUUUUUCAAGCCAAGCCAACUCACAUUGGGAAUUGGAACUCUGCAUAAUGCUAGACGAGCUAACACAGUAAGUGGGUAUUUCUGCUCUCUACCACCCUCCAGAGAAUUUUUUUCUUUCUAAUUGCAUUAGUCCGCUCAGGCUGCCACCAAAAACUAUCACUGAGUGGCAUAAACAAUAGAAAUUUAUUUGUUCUCAGUUUUGGAGGCUGGAAGUCUUAGAUCAGGGUGCCAACAUAGUCAAGUUCUGGUGAGGACGUUCUACUUGUCUUGCAGAUGGCUGUCCUCUUGCUGUGUCCUCACAAGAGGGAUAGCGGGGAGAGAGAAAGAGAGCUCACUCUCUGAUGUCUCUGUUUCUAAGGGCACUAAUCUCAUCAUGAGGCCUUACUCUGAACACCUCAUUGAAACCUAAUUAUCUUCCAAAGGGCCCAUGUGCAAAUAUCAUUAGAUGAGGGGAGUGAGGCCUUCAACAUAUGAAUGUUGGGAGCAUAACUCAGCGCAUAGCCCUAACAUAAUUUAUGAAUAGGAGCGCUUGAGGAACUUCUUAGUGGAUCUCGCUGCUCCUCACUAGGCCCGUACAAUCUACUCUCAGUGGAGAUAGAAUUUUAAAGAUACAUAAGCUAGAUUACAUCACUUCCUUGUUCAAAUCCUCCAGUAACUGCCAUCACAUCUAGAAAAAUAUACCAUGGACUACAAGGGUCUGCAUGAUUCAGACCCUUCUUUCUUCUAGUUUCUCCUUUGCUUACUUCACUGCUAACAUACCGGUCUCUAGGAAUUCCUUAGGCACAUCAAAUGCACUUCACCUUGAGGGCCUCUGCAGUUGCUGUCCCCUUUAUCUGGAGCACACUUUUUCAGAUAUUGAUUGAUUGAUUGAUUGAUUGGGGCAGGGUCUAGCCCUGUUGCUCAGGCUGGAGUGUAG